rnacentral:rRNA from 1 species
GAGAUCAAACGCAAUAAGGCACACGGUGGAUGCCUUGCACCAAGAGGCGAUGAAGGGCGCGAUAAGCUGCGAUAAGCUUGGGGGAGUCGCACAUAGGCCGUGAUCCCAAGAUGCCCGAAUGGGGAAACCCGG